UGUGCUAUGAGGAUAGAAAUUUAUCAGUGAUGCACCCUGAUGACUGUAUACGCUAUUCUGAGCCAUGA
ensembl:snoRNA small nucleolar RNA U54